rnacentral:rRNA from 1 species
GAUGAACGCUGGCGGCGUGCCUAAUACAUGCAAGUCGAGCGACCGGACGAGAAGAUCGUUUUCCUGCUGUUAGCGGCGGACGGGCGGGUAACAAGUGGAUCAGCAUCCUCUUUGUCUGGGGUAAUUACGGGAAACCGGAGAUGCUACCGCCUAAUAUUUCCAACCGCAUGGUUCAAAAGUGCUUCACAGCUUUGGUGUUUCUUAUAGCUGGUUCCGCGUUGCAUUAGCUAGUUGGUAAGGUAACGGCUUACCAAGGCAACGAUGCUUAGCCGACCUGAGAGGGUGAUCAGCCACACUGGAACUGAGACACGGUCCAGACUCCUACGGGAGGCAGCAGUAGGGAAUCUUCCACAAUGGGCGAAAGCCUGACGGAGCAACGCCGCGUGAGUGAUGAAGGUCUUCGGAUCGUAAAACUCUGUUAUUAGGGAAGAACAGAUGUGUAAGUAUCUGUGCACAUCUUGACGGUACCUAAACAGAAAGCCACGGCUAACUACGUG